rnacentral:rRNA from 1 species
GGAGUCUGGGCCGUAUCUCAGUCCCAAUGUGCCCGUUCAACCUCUCAGUUCGGCUACUGAUCGUUGACUUGGUAGGCCGUUACCCCACCAACUAUCUAAUCAGACGCAAGCCCAUCUAUCAGCGAAUUGCUUCUUUCCCUAUUGUAGCAUGUGCUACUUAGGCAUAUGCGGUAUUAGCAGUCAUUUCUAACUGUUGUUCCCCUCUGAUAGGCAGGUUGCUUACGUGUUACUCACCAGUCCGCCACUAAAGCCAUUGUUAUAAAUCUUCAUCCACUUCCUUUGAACAAGUUCUCCGUUCAUUUCAAAAUCAGUAUAACGACUUCCGUUCGACUUGCAUGUCUUAUGUGCGCCGCCAGCGUUUAUC